AAGCAAUGACGACAUCUGCGCUCGAGUGAAAUCAGGGUUCUUCAAAUUCGUCUGAUUUCAAGACGACAAUUAAGCGCUGCCGAGUUU